AUGGCUCAGAUUGAACGCUGGCGGCAGGCCUAACACAUGCAAGUCGAGCGGUAACACAGGAGAGCUUGCUCUCUGGGUGACGAGCGGCGGACGGGUGAGUAAUGUCUGGGAAACUGCCCGAUGGAGGGGGAUAACUACUGGAAACGGUAGCUAAUACCGCAUAACGUCUUCGGACCAAAGAGGGGGACCUUCGGGCCUCUUGCCAUCGGAUGUGCCCAGAUGGGAUUAGCUAGUAGGUGGGGUAAUGGCUCACCUAGGCGACGAUCCCUAGCUGGUCUGAGAGGAUGACCAGCCACACUGGAACUGAGACACGGUCCAGACUCCUACGGGAGGCAGCAGUGGGGAAUAUUGCACAAUGGGCGCAAGCCUGAUGCAGCCAUGCCGCGUGUAUGAAGAAGGCCUUCGGGUUGUAAAGUACUUUCAGCGAGGAGGAAGGCGUUGCGGUUAAUAACCGCAGCGAUUGACGUUACUCGCAGAAGAAGCACCGGCUAACUCCGUGCCAGCAGCCGCGGUAAUACGGAGGGUGCAAGCGUUAAUCGGAAUUACUGGGCGUAAAGCGCACGCAGGCGGUCUGUCAAGUCGGAUGUGAAAUCCCCGGGCUCAACCUGGGAACUGCAUUCGAAACUGGCAGGCUAGAGUCUUGUAGAGGGGGGUAGAAUUCCAGGUGUAGCGGUGAAAUGCGUAGAGAUCUGGAGGAAUACCGGUGGCGAAGGCGGCCCCCUGGACAAAGACUGACGCUCAG
rnacentral:rRNA from 1 species